rnacentral:rRNA from 1 species
AUUGAACGCUGGCGGCAUGCCUUACACAUGCAAGUCGAACGGUAACAGGUCUUCGGAUGCUGACGAGUGGCGAACGGGUGAGUAAUACAUCGGAACGUGCCUAGUAGUGGGGGAUAACUACUCGAAAGAGUGGCUAAUACCGCAUGAGAUCUACGGAUGAAAGCAGGGGAUCGCAAGACCUUGUGCUACUAGAGCGGCCGAUGGCAGAUUAGGUAGUUGGUGGGAUAAAAGCUUACCAAGCCGACGAUCUGUAGCUGGUCUGAGAGGACGAUCAGCCACCCUGGGACUGAGAGACGGCCCAGACUCCUACGGGAGGCAGCAGUGGGGAAUUUUGGACAAUGGGCGCAAGCCUGAUCCAGCAAUGCCGCGUGCAGGAUGAAGGCCUUCGGGUUGUAAACUGCUUUUGUACGGAACGAAAAGCCCCGGGUGAAUACCCUGAGGUCAUGACGGUACCGUAAGAAUAAGCACCGGCUAACUACGUGCCAGCAGCCGCAGUAA